AAUUACUGGGCGUAAAGCGUGCGUAGGUGGUGAUUUAAGUCUGUUGUGAAAGCCCUGGGCUCAACCUGGGAAUUGCAGUGGAUACUGGGUCACUAGAGUGUGGUAGAGGGUAGCGGAAUUCCCGGUGUAGCAGUGAAAUGCGUAGAGAUCGGGAGGAACAUCCGUGGCGAAGGCGGCUACCUGGACCAACACUGACACUGAGGCACGAAAGCGUGGGGAGCAAACAGGAUUAGAUACCCUGGUAGUCCACGCCCUAAACGAUGCGAACUGGAUGUUGGGUGCAAUUUGGCACGCAGUAUCGAAGCUAACGCGUUAAGUUCGCCGCCUGGGGAGUACGGUCGCAAGACUGAAACUCAAAGGAAUUGACGGGGGCCCGCACAAGCGGUGGAGUAUGUGGUUUAAUUCGAUGCAACGCGAAGAACCUUACCUGGUCUUGACAUCCACGGAACUUUCCAGAGAUGG
rnacentral:rRNA from 1 species